rnacentral:rRNA from 1 species
AAUUUAGUGGCGGACGGGUGAGUAACGCGUAAGAACCUACCUUUAGGAGGGGGACAACAGCUGGAAACGGUUGCUAAUACCCCAUAUGCUGAGGAGUAAAAUGGUGUAAUAACCGCCUAAAGAUGGGCUUGCGUCUGAUUAGCUAGUUGGUAAGGUAAAGGCUUACCAAGGCAACGAUCAGUAGCUGGUCUGAGAGGAUGAUCAGCCACACUGGGACUGAGACACGGCCCAG